CCCCCCAGACUGGAAUUUCCUCAGCUUUAUCUUGUCUUGCUUUGAAGUUUUGCUCAAUGUUCCUCCCUUCCGACCACUUCCACUUAAAUAAAGUCUUUAAGUAGCUGAAGGAUUAACAAAUAAUUCAGUGGAGCCUAAUUACUUUAAUUAAUCACCUUCUUUUGAGAGAUGUCAGUGGGCUUCAUUAUAUUAUUGUUGUUGUAGGUACUGUGGGGAAUUUUAAGAAUACACACACACACACACACACACACAAACUCUUCCUUGGUCACUCACAGACACUAUCUGUCCUGUUCAUACCUCCUGCUUCUCUUGACACACUUUUGCCCAAUGACUGCUUAACAGAGCCAUCUUUGGUCAUUCCAUGCCUUAAAAAUUGCUGUCUAUAGGGAGAAAAGUAAAAUGCUAUUUAGAGCCAGUCAAUAUUUUUGCAUCUUUCAGAGUCAUGAUGGGACCGACAAUAGCUUUUAUUGUACAAUCAGUAUAAUUUGCUUCCCUUACAACAAAGCAUAAUUAGCUUGUAGUUCACACAGUGGCAAUGCAAAUGUGG
rnacentral:lncRNA from 1 species